rnacentral:rRNA from 1 species
UACGUAGGCAGCGAGCGUUGUUCGGAAUUACUGGGCGUAAAGAGUGUGUAGGCGGUGCUCUAAGUUCGGUGUGAAAUCUCCCGGCUUAACUGGGAGGGUGCGCCGGAAACUGGAGUGCUCGAGCGUGGGAGAGGAAAGCGGAAUUCCUGGUGUAGCGGUGAGAUGCGUAGAUAUCUGGAGGAACACCGGUGGCGAAGGCGGCAUCCUGGACCGGCAUUGACGCUGAGGCGCGAAAGCCAGGGGAGCAAACGGG